ACCUUCGGGCCUUGUGCUACUAGAGCGGCUGAUGGCAGAUUAGGUAGUUGGUGGGGUAAAGGCUUACCAAGCCUGCGAUCUGUAGCUGGUCUGAGAGGACGACCAGCCACACUGGGACUGAGACACGGCCCAGACUCCUACGGGAGGCAGCAGUGGGGAAUUUUGGACAAUGGGCGAAAGCCUGAUCCAGCAAUGCCGCGUGCAGGAUGAAGGCCCUCGGGUUGUAAACUGCUUUUGUACGGAACGAAAAGCCUGGGGCUAAUACCCCCGGGUCAUGACGGUACCGUAAGAAUAAGCACCGGCUAACUACG
rnacentral:rRNA from 2 species